AAUAGAAGCACACAAGGUUAUCCAGUGCACUGUAGCGGUAAUUACAAAUCUAAAUGCUCAUUCUUAGGAGACAAGGUUAUUACUUAGCCAACAAAAAGAAUGAAAUCUUGCCAUUUGCAGUGAUAUGGAUGGAGCUAGAGUGUCUCAUGCUAAUCGAAAUAAGUCAGAGAAAGAUAAAUACCAUACGAUUUCAUUCAUGUGGAAUUCAAGAAACAAAACAUGAUCAGAGGGGGAGGGGAAAAAGAGGGAAACAAAGUGGCCUGGAUUAGUGACUCUGGAACUGCUGAAGGUAUAUACCAGGAUUGAACAAAUAGGUAAACAUAUUGCAGAUGCCAGAAGUCACAAUUCUCAAGGUCUGAGAAGGAAGUCACCACAAAGAAAAGGGGGAAGGCUGGAAGAUGCUCUGCAAUAUUGUUUCAAGUUUGGAGGACUUGAUCUCAGACUUCCAGCCUCCAGAACUGGAAGCAAUAAUUUUCUGCUGUUUAUAAUCCCCCAGACUGUGGUAUUUUGUUAUAGCAGCCAAAUGGACUAAGACAUUUUAAAUAAAAUUGAUGCAUUUAAUAUAA